rnacentral:lncRNA from 10 species
CUCCCUCCUUCCCUCAUGCUCCCCUUCUCUCCCUCCUUCCCUCAUGCUCCCCUGGCCACUUUCCAGCUUAAAGCCCCUAUAGCCACUAAGUACUCAGGGCUACAAACUUGGGCCAGCAGGGCUCAGGACUGGACUGUCUCCCUGAGACCCAGCUAGGUGCCUGGUAUAUUGUAAGGUCCUAAAGUAAAGAAGAUGAGGCCGGGUGCGGUGGCUCAUGCCUGUAAUCCCAGCACUUUUGAGGUCGAGGCAGGCGCAUCACGAGGUCAGCAGAUCGAGACCAUCCUGGCUAACACGGUGAAACCCUGUCUCUACUAAAAAUACAAAAAAUUAGCCGGGCGUGGUGGCGGGCGCCUGUAGUCCCAGCUACUCGGGAGGCUGAGGCAGGAGAAUGGCGUGAACCCGGGAGGCGGAGCUUGCAGUGAGCCGAGAUGGCACCACUGCACUCCAGCCUGGGCGACAGAGCAAAACUCUGUCUCAAAAUAAAUAAAUAAAUAAAA